rnacentral:rRNA from 1 species
CAGUCGCCACGGUAAUACAGAGGGUGCGAGCGUUAAUCGGAUUUACUGGGCGUAAAGCGUGCGUAGGCGGCUUCUUAAGUCGGAUGUGAAUUCCCUGAGCUUAACUUAGGAAUUGCAUUCGAUACUGGGAAGCUAGAGUAUGGGAGAGGAUGGUAGAAUUCCAGGUGUAGCGGUGAAAUGCGUAGAGAUCUGGAGGAAUACCGAUGGCGAAGGCAGCCAUCUGGCCUAAUACUGACGCUGAGGUACGAAAGCAUGGGGAGCAAACAGGAUUAGAUACCCCGGUAGUCCCUGUCUCUUAUAC